rnacentral:tRNA from 1 species
GCCCACGUAGCUCAGUCGGUAGAGCAUUUGCAUGGUAAGCAAAAGGUCAGCGGUUCGAAUCCGCUCGUGGGCUCCA